UGCUGGUCUGGCUGCCCAACAUUCC
rnacentral:piRNA from 1 species